rnacentral:rRNA from 1 species
AUGUCUAAGAAGAUUGUGAUCAGAGCCGAUCUCGUCGGCAAGAAGUGCACGAGUGGGAUCCUGUCAAUCGUUUCCAAGCUCGAGGGGAUCAAGUCCAUGGUCGUCGACGAGGACAAGUGCACGCUGACGGUGGUCGGCACCGUGGACCCGGUGUGCGUGGUGCACCAGCUGAGGAAGUCGUGCUUCGCCGCGUCCAUCGUCAGCGUGGAGGACGACAAGCCCAAGGAGAAGAAGACACCCUGCCAGGAGGCCUGCGAGAAGGCCUGGAAGGAAAAGUACGAGAAGGCCUGCAAGGAGAGGUGCGAGAAGGCUUGCAAGGAGCCGUGCUGCGACGACUGCGGCGACAAGGGGACGCCGUACGGCGGUUACGGGUACCGCUGCACGCCGGGCUGCUACUCCAGCCCCUGCGGCCUGCCCAGCUGCCACUACUACAGCUCCGGCUACGGCUACGGCUACGGCGUGCGUGCGCCGCCCCUGGGAUACACCUGGUACGAGUAG